CGUCGCAGGUCCUCCUCCCGGUGGGCCUCCGACGCGCAAAUCGUUUUUCUCGGAAACCGAUGACGACUCCCGUUACCGUUUCGCAAGUUACGAGCUCUCGAAGCCAGAACAUUCCCGCCGCGGCCGGCCAUCGUCGCCGUGCCCGGCGGUCGCCGGGGCGAAGCCCCGGGACGACGGACUUCGCGUCGCGUCCCGGCUUCCCCCACGAUCUCGGCUGGGGGCCGUUAUAAACCUGGCGAGGGGCGCUGGCGCGGUUAUUCUCCAUCCGCUCGAAACGGACGGAGUACGCGCCAAUCCCGCUCUCGCCAACGCACGGGUCACGUCGCGCCGGGCGCGCUCUCCCCGCUCGCUUGGUCACCGCAGCCGACCGCCGCCCCGCGUUCUGCGGGCUCGGCGCUCGGCGCUCGCGUCGACCGAAGCGCGCGGGUCACGGGCGCCCGUCCGCGCUCGUAUCCCACACGAACCGCGGUCGGUCGGGCGCCGUGACCGUACACCGGUCACGUUCGUCCGACCUUCCUCGGCGUCGGUUCGCCCGCACGGGCGGACCGGCGCUCGGACGCACGCGUCCCGCGACGAGUGUCCGCGCCGUCGCCGUCGCCGCCCUAUGUCGGCGGCGGCGUCGUCGCGGAGCCGUCGCGGGCCGCAGUUGUUGUAAAACCGAGAUCCCUGGUUGAUCCUGCCAGUAGUCAUAUGCUUGUCUCAAAGAUUAAGCCAUGCAUGUCUCAGUGCAAGCCGCAUUAAGGUGAAACCCGCGAAAGGCUCAUUAAAUCAGUUGUGGUUCCUUAGAUCGUACCCAAGUUACUUGGGAUAACUGUGGUAAUUCUAGAGCUAAUACAUGCCGACAGAGUUCCGACCGUCGCGGCGCCCUCGGGCGUCGCUCGCGGGAGGAACGCUUUUAUUAGAUCAAAACCGGCCCGUCGCGGCGCGCUUCGUGCGCGUCCCGAUCGCGGCCCGCGCAAAGACCUGGUGACUCUGAAUAACUUCGAGCUGAUCGCACGGUCUCCGUACCGGCGACGCAUCUUUCAAAUGUCUGCCUUAUCAACUGUCGAUGGUAGGUUCCAUGCCUACCAUGGUGGUAACGGGUAACGGGGAAUCAGGGUUCGAUUCCGGAGAGGGAGCCUGAGAAACGGCUACCACAUCCAAGGAAGGCAGCAGGCGCGCAAAUUACCCACUCCCGGAACGGGGAGGUAGUGACGAAAAAUAACGAUACGGGACUCAUCCGAGGCCCCGUAAUCGGAAUGA